CAGUAGCCGCGGUAAUACGAAGGGUGCAAGCGUUACUCGGAAUUACUGGGCGUAAAGCGUGCGUAGGUGGUGGUUUAAGUCCGUUGUGAAAGCCCUGGGCUCAACCUGGGAAUUGCAGUGGAUACUGGGUCACUAGAGUGUGGUAGAGGAUAGUGGAAUUUCCGGUGUAGCAGUGAAAUGCGUAGAGAUCGGAAGGACAUCUGUGGCGAAGGCGACUAUCUGGGCCAACACUGACACUGAGGCACGAAAGCGUGGGGAGCAAACAGGAUUAGAUACCCCUGUAGUCCCUGUCUCUUAUACA
rnacentral:rRNA from 1 species